AGAGGGUUAGUCCAAUACAAGACCUCUGAUUUCGACUCAGAAAAUUGUGGUUUAACUCCACGACCCCCUC
rnacentral:tRNA from 1 species